CUCUUCAUAUCAUAUAAAUCUUUUGCUUUUUACUAAAGAUCUCCGUGGAGAG
rnacentral:snRNA from 1 species